rnacentral:rRNA from 1 species
ACUCAAAUGAAUUGACGGGGGCCCGCACAAGCAGCGGAGCAUGUGGUUUAAUUCGAAGCAACGCGAAGAACCUUACCAAGGCUUGACAUCCAACUAAACUCAUGGAAACAUGAGGUGCCUUCGGGCAAGUUGAGACAGGUGGUGCAUGGUUGUCGUCAGCUCGUGUCGUGAGAUGUUGGGUUAAGUCCCGCAACGAGCGCAACCCUUAUUACCAGUUACCAGCGCGUAACGGCGGGGACUCUGGUGAGACUGCCGGGGCAACUCGGAGGAAGGUGGGGAUGACGUCAAAUCAUCAUGCCCCUUAUGUCUUGGGCUACACACGUGCUACAAUGGCUACAACAAAGGGAAGCGACAGGGUAACCUGAAGCGGAUCUCGGAAAAGUAGUCUCAGUUCGGAUUGUGGGCUGCAACCCGCCCACAUGAAGUCGGAGUUGCUAGUAAUCGCGGAUCAGCAUGCCGCGGUGAAUACGUUCCCGGGCCUUGUACACACCGCCCGU